rnacentral:rRNA from 1 species
CGCGUGUCAAAUCUUCCCAUUAUCCGCGCGAUCCCCUAGCCAUCUACCAUGGCCCGCCUCCUCGCGCGAACCCUAACCCUAGGCCGCCCGGCCGCUCCGGGGUCCUCCCUGCAGCCCCACCGCGCCCUCUCAGACAAGGUGGAGCUGAUCGAGAUCGACCUCUCCGAGGAAUCCGCCUCCUCCACCUCAUCCGGCGACUCCGCGGAGGAGCCGAUGGGGAUGGGGCGCCUGAACGACGCCAUCCGCGGUGUCCUAGUGCGGCGGGCCGCUCCGGAGUGGCUCCCCUUCGUGCCUGGGGGAUCGUACUGGGUGCCGCCGAUGCGGCGGCCGCUCGGGGUGUCCGAUCUCGUCGGCACGGUCGUCUACAGCGCGAGGGGCGCCGUCGAUACGGCGGAGAUGGCGAGAGCCACCAUGGUUAAGGCCGCGAUGACUAAGGAGGAGGCCAUGUGCUUCACCACGCAGCGGGGCUGGCCGUCAGAGGCCUAUUUCGUCCAAGGGAAAGUUUGGCAUCCAGUGAAGAAGUCAAGGAAAAAUGCUAAAACUGAUGAUGAGGAAAGCUAAUUUGUCCUUGCAAGUUUACCUGGGAUCCCCAGGUGGACACAGGAAGACUCAGCUCGGAGAAGUAAAACCCUGCUGAUGGCUGUACAUAUAGACGAUAUAGGUGUCUUAACAGACCCUAGCGACAAUAAUGAGCCGCCUCAUCGCCCGUCUCUUCUUGGUAGAUCAUGCGUGCUUAAGAUGAAAUAUGAUGAAUUUGUAUUACAACACAGCCUAGUGUCAUGUGCCCUUUGACUGCUCUCUGAGCUGAAGUUGUAUGAUGUACCAACUAUUCUUUGUGGAUUAUUUCUGCUUGUACGGGCACCCGUCAGCUCCACGGGUUGUCGGCGUCAGUUGGCAUAUUUUGCGCAGGAAAAGAAGACUGUUCCUUUCUGUCAUUUCCAUGUCGGCCACUCCAAAUAAACUCUGUGGGGAGAUGUCAUUAUCACUGUUUGAUCCACAUAAUUUAAGAUCAGCCAUUUGAUUUAUCUUUUGUCUUUUCAUCACCCAAG